AGCAGAGCUAGAGGUUAUGUCUGCAGUGUAUUUCCUUUUUGAGGAGACCUUGCUCGUGGGGCAGUUAAAGUGCACUGUAAACCUAAAGCCACGUGGACUUAUGGCAUCAUGUUAUGCGUCGUAUCUAGAACACCUGAGUAAGACAGAAAAUGAUUUGAGCACAAUUUGGGAAUUCAUAACCCUGCUUCACCACAGGAACAUUGUUAGAACCACAUAUUGAGAAUCUGGCUCAUUAUAAUUGUAUGUCUUGCUCUUCUUUUAACUUCUCUUAUGCAGUAAGAUGAGGACAAACCUCAGAAAGAUUCAGUAGCAUCAUUAUUUCUCAAACUAAUGAGAAAGAAACAAACUGGUGUUAGAGAAAAAUGUGGACUUCUUCAAGGAGCUUUGACUUGUGAUUUACAUGAAAGAUGGGGAAAGAGAUCCCUGAAGGCACCUUAAGCAGGUUUACAGAGGGAUUUACGAACAUGAAGGGCUGUAUUUAGGUGAUUGGAAAGUUGUUUGAGGAUGAGAGAACCCUUGUGUUUCCACAAACGUGAGGCUUUGCAUGUACUUGUGUGAGUCUACAGCACUGUUGAGCACUACCAUGCAGAAGUGAAGGCAGAUGAACUCUUUCACUUAUAUUGGAAAGAGAUUGUCCAUAAGGGAGGAGUCUUUCAGAUCCUUUGCAGUCCAAGGGUCUCUAUGAAAAGAGAAAUCUAGAUUAGUAUGUGGCUGGUAGACCUAUUGUCUAAAAGGAACGUAGUGGUCAUAGUGAGUAACUAAGAGUUACAAAAAUACUGAGUCAAAAACAGGACAUAAAUGUAUUAUAAGAAAUAAUGUUUACUUUUGAGUAAAUAAUUGCUGAUGCCUUCUAGAAAUCUUGGGAAGAUGUUAUAUCUGUGCCUAUAAAAAGACUGUAGAUGUAUUUAACAAUAUACAUUUGUUGAAGAUUUGGUCUUCAUACUUAAAAGUAGCCAGCAAUCAAAUGUAGAGAAUUAUGGCCUGCAGGUGUUUAAGAAUCAAAAAAGCUUUCAAAAACCCUCUAUUCAAAUAAUCUAUAGUGAUAAAAUCUAAUAAAAGGAGAAAUAAAACAUCAAAAAGCUUAAUUGUCCGUUUCGGACGGUUUGCCAUCAGAGUAGUGACUUAGGACACCAGGUCACUUGUUGAGUGCUGGCUCAGUUCAUGCCAGAUUAGUCAGAGCUGAGCAGAUGUAGUCAAGGUCUCAUUUGACUGGGCAGUUUUUGGCUUUCAGGUAGGCUUCACUCCUUGACAGACAUGUUAGCAGGGAAGAUUGUGCUGUGACUGUCCAUUAGCAUAUCAUUGUAAUAUAAUGGGAAAACAAUUUUCUACUGCAGUCUUCACGUCAAUGGACAGACUGGUAUUCUUGUUUUGAGAUGGAUUGCUAUGUAGGGUUUUUUUCAUCUGAAAUUUCAUCAAGAAUGUUUUUAUAAAUAACAUAAACCAUAAUUAAAAUUGAGAGAUGAAAUCCACACAGAUGGAUUAUUUUUUCCCUUCUGUAUAAGAGGGAAGACCUCUAGCAGCCACUAAACACAGCCUCUACUGUCCAGAGAGGCAACUUGAGACAAGUAAAAAGCUGUUGUUCCAUUGGUCUGUGUAUGGUAGUGACUGCUCCUUAAGCCUGGGGCUAUUCUGUGAAGGAAUUGAUGCUCUGAAGGUCACAUUAAAAACAGCUUCAGGAGUUCAGUAGAGGGGGUGGUGUGUACUCCAGGAGCAGAUCUGUUGCAGGAGCACCACCCACAGGGUGCUGGCAUCAGCAGGGCACACACAGAGCAAAGGCACCUGUGUGCCUUAUUCCCAGAGUACAGAGUCUUUCUCCAGUUCCCUCUUCAGGUAAAAGCCCUCAGGAAAAUGAUGGCUGUGUAUACUUAGUGACCUCCCUGAAACAGGAGACUUCUCUAUACAUAGUCUUCACAGAGGCGAAACGUAGGACAGAUCUAAGUAGCGUUCUGCAGAUGCUAAUAAGAUCAUCAAGAAAUUAUUUCCGUUUUCCCUCUUAAAUGUCUAUUGCAUUAAAGAAACAAAAGGAUAGCUUCUGCCUUGAUCCUAAAUUUCUCCUCCUUGACUCUAAAGAACAAAAUCAGAAGUCUGGCAAGCUUCACGUUUUCAGUGUAAUCCAGUUGAUUAAUUUGCAAUCCCUUUUUCAUUGUUUGAUUGGAAUAGUGUGGAACCUGGUCAAAAGCCAGAUGGGAAUCUAUGUUUGCCAUGUCAAUGCAAUUGCUAUUAUCAAUUAUAUUUGUAGGAUCGUAAAAAUACCAUGUUUGUCUGAGGAGAUACAUUUCCCAUAAAAUGAUGCUGUCAGGAAUUCAUUAAAAUGCCAUCAUUUAUAGCUUUACUGCCUUUGUCCUGUUGUAGCUUUUCAAUGACGUUGCCAGGAAUUCUUUAUUAGGGUAUCUAGCCCACAUGCCUGGGUCAUUCCUAUGACUCCUUUGAAAUAAUAGUUCCAAGCUUCACUUUCUCCUUUAUCUUCUGGAUUUUUCUAUCACUUACAUUCAAGUGUAUUUGGCAUUUUAAGUGGAUUCUGAGUUUUUACAUUUAACAGAUUAAUAAAGAGUAUGUGAAUUUAAGUGUUCAUAAAAGGUCCAAGCUUGUCAAUCCGUCUGAAUUCAGCAGUGGAACUGAGCAGGUUUUUUGGAGGUUUUUCCAUGUACAUGUCUCAGUCUGAUGUAAGAAAAUACAGUAUUUUUCCCUUUAAUAAGCUACAGCAUAGCCUAGCUGAACAUGCAUAUUUUUUACAGCCUAUAGUAAAUUGUUUUUCUUGCUACAUUCUUGUCUUUCUGCCCUUUGCAAUGUGAGUAACACUGGCAUAGUUUGCCCAACAUUCAAAUUUAGUAGUCUGCAUUUAGAGAUGACGUUUGAGAAGGAAAAUAUAAAUAACAUAGCUGACACUGUGGGCUUAAACCUACUAGCUUAUAGAACAGAUAGGAAACGCAAAACCUGCUUAACAUGCUCAACAAAAUGCAUGUUUAAACUACUUGCUGAAUCAUUAUUUAUCAGCAAAAAGGUUUUUGUCCCAAAUCAAGAUUUCCUAAGUAUGACUUCACUCAAUUUUCAAACAUUUAAAAUCAGAAGGGUUAGCCAUCUGAUACAAAAGUGAGCCUUUUUUUUUUCCCCCCCUAUGUCAUCUUUAAAACAUGCUGAAAUUUUGAAGAAAACUGGUUAAAGAUUGUGGAAAAAAAUGAGUGGUUUUUGACUGAGUCCAGUUUAAGCUUUGGCUUGAUCUGUAUUUAAAGUCACAGUGAACCUAGUUCAGAUCUCCAUUCACUGCUAUACAAAUUUUCCUCGGUGACCUACCAGUGUAACUUGACCAUCUUGAGGAGCUACUAAUUUCUAAUGGAAAACAUUACAGAUGAUGCUAUGUACUGAUAUUACUUUACCAGAGUUGCAGUUUUACAGUAGGCCACAGUUCAGGUUUGUCUGAGAUGGCUGGGAAACUGUCAAGGUAAUACAAGCUCAACUGGGAUUCUUAUGAUGCAGAUGGUUACUCAUCUAUUGGUAGCUACACUAAGACAAACUUACUUUGCGCUGGACUAUGAUUAACAUGUUAGGGCUUAUCUUAAGAUUUUAAUUUUUCAUGUCCUUUCUGUACUUAACUGCAUAGAAUCAGCUGUAAUGUGAAGUUUAGUCAAUGGGAAACUCGGGAGGCAGACACUAGAUUUCUAAUUUGUGACAGGAGACAAGCGCUUGAUAUUUUAUGCAAUUUUUUUUUUUAAGGCAGAAAUAUUUUCAUAGGCUUAACAGUCACAUACAUAGGUUAGAAUCUUAAUCAUCUCCACUAAAAAUAACCUGUUUUUGCUGUGUUCAGCUCUGGUAAUUAAUAGUGUGCAUCCCCAGUUUGGAACACAGGUUAUAGUUUUUAUCACUUUAUAAUCAUACCUAAUUUUUGUCCCGUUCAUUCUUUUUUAUUGUAUUUUUAGUAGACUUUUACAUUUUUUCGGGUUUAUUCCUUAUCUUACUGAUACAAUAGUAAGAUGUGAGCGUUGUGUAUGAGGGGAAGGGACGGAAAAGGCAGCAGAUUAUCUGUCUUCUGCAAAGGUAUUGGACACAAAACCUUACACAGAUAAAUAAAUACAAACAAGCCUUCUGUACCAUCCAGCACCUACUUUAUUUACCUUUUUUGACAAGAACCACCAAAUGGCAUUUUACUGAGUAUUACCUUAGAUGUUUUGCUUCUUUAAAAAUACACAUUACUGUGACAGUCAGUCACCUACCCAUUGCUAAAAAUGCCUAUGGCUUCCUAAAAUAACAAAAGGUUUUCAAUUGCAACCAUUAAAAGUAUGGAGAGUCAAAACCAGAAAAUGUCAUGUGGUUUACUUACUCCAUCAGGUAGUUACUGCCAUUCAGCAUUCAUGAAGGCAAUUAAAAAAAAAUGAAAACAAAACCCAACAAAACAACACAAGCAGACAUUGGGUUUUACCAAUUUUAUUUCUAGACUUUAGUUUUUUUUUUUUUGCUGGAAACUUGUCUGUUACAGGUCUGUUGGUGAAAAUGUGCAUUUCAGACCAGUGAUGCCAAUAAGUACAAUAUAAAAAUGUACAAAUCUGAAUUGCUUGCUUACUACAGAUUGUUAUAAUAAUGUGACAAAUAAAGCAUCUCUGUUGGCACAUGAACCCACUUAUCUGGAUUUGGCCUUUUAGUACAUACAAUAUUUUAAAGAAAUUUGCAGUACACACUGCCACUCAGUGUAACACAUAAUAUAAACCAACAAGCACUAACUCAAUAAUCAUGUUUGGUUCAGAGACACAGAGAUGCCACAAACAGAAGUGUUUUAUGAGGUAAGCAGUAAGAAAUGUUCCUGAAAUUUGGACAGAAUGUAUCCAGUCCUCCUGGGUCCUGCGACUGCUAGUAGCAUUGUAAUACUUUAUUUAUGCACUAUGUAGGAUCUCAACUGCAUUUGCCUCAAAAUGAGUUCUAAUUCUCUUUUGGUUUAGCAGCAUACAGGCAACAGCUAGAUUAUUCUUCAGCAUACAACUCUGUUAGCUGGCUUAUUUAUGAGAUUUACAGGCUUUUUUAAUUAGCAUUAUGCUAUAAUUAAAAAAAAAAAAAAAAAAAAAAAAAAAACCCACCAAAACAAAAAACUAGUAUAUCAUAACAGAUUAAACACACAAAAUACUUAAGAGUUCCAGAAGAUAACCUAUCAUACCAAAUGAUGUGUCCCAGCUGAUAGGAAACCACAUCAGGCGGCAUACAAAAGUUAUAUUAUAAUGCACCUUUCAUAUAUCAAUGUGGCUAAUAACACAGCUUAAAACUACUAUGAUAAUAAACCCCAGAUCAGACAAAGAAUCCAGCUUUAUAAAAUGCAUAACAAAAAAACUGACAUUACUUGAUCUUCUGAAAUGUCUGCUGUUUUUAAAUUAAUGCAACCUAGUUGCAAAUCGCGAGACCCAUUCAGAAUAACGUUCGAUGCAUUUCCAUUUGCAGUAGAACUAUGAGGCACUGUGUACGAACAUUAAAACCUGGUCUAGACACGGUUAACUGAAGUAUGAGGUAUUGUGAAACAGGAACCUUUUUGGAAUAGAGCAGUAAUCACAUUAAGUAAAAAUUGAUCACAUAAAAAUCUACAAAAAAAUGAUGUCAAUAAUAUAAUUUUCUAUGAGAAAAUUAAAACCUAUAACAUGGCAGUAUAUGACAUUGUAUAACAAAAAAAAAAAAAAAACUGA